rnacentral:lncRNA from 1 species
CUUGAAAUCACAUUAGUUGUAUUAUCAAGGGGGAAAAUUUGGAAAAUGUGGAUCUGCCACUCAUACUUCCCUGCCCUGAUAAUGUUUUCAGCAUCUAACAGAUCAUAUAUUAAGUCACUAACCAGAUUAGCCACCUGCUCCGCAUUUCUAGGACUCACCACCUUUCCCAUGAUGCUCCACUUCAGCUCAAAGACACCAGACUUUGGGACAACGGUUGUCUCCUCAAGCCUUCGUUUUCUGGAGAGCCACUUACCAAACAAGUCUUCUUUGGGCUGGGAUCAAUAAGUAUUUGUUGUUGCUGAUGAAGCAAACAAAAAAAAGUUAGCAGGGAGUUGAAACCCAAGACAAAUGAAGAAAUGCUAAGAGGAUACAUCUAACUG